GGCCUUUACAGGUCUGGCAAUUGGAAUGAGAACAAUUUAAAUCCCUUAUCGAGUAUCAAUUGGAGGGCAAGUCUGGUGCCAGCAGCCGCGGUAAUUCCAGCUCCAAUAGCGUAUAUUUAAGUUGUUGCAGUUAAAAAGCUCGUAGUUGGAUUUCGGGUGUGAACGACCGGUCCGUCUUUGAUGUGUACUGGUUGGUUGCGCCUUAUUGUCGAGGACGUGGUUCUAGCUUUCAUUAGCCGGGACACGGAGUCGGCAGCGUUACUUUGAGAAAAUUAGAGUGUUCAAAGCAGGCUAUCGCCCUGAAUACUACAGCAUGGAAUAACACGAUAGGACUCCGAGCCUAUUCUGUUGGUCUUCGGGACCGGAGUAAUGAUUAAGAGGGACAGUUGGGGGCAUUCGUAUUCCGAUGUCAGAGGUGAAAUUCUUGGAUUAUCGGAAGACGAACAUCUGCGAAAGCAUUUGCCAAGGAUGUUUUCAUUAAUCAAGAACGAAAGUUGGGG
rnacentral:rRNA from 1 species